UCCCGUGUGGCUCAGUUGGUAGAGCAUGGUGUUUGCAACGCCGGGGUUCGAUUCCCACGGGGG
rnacentral:tRNA from 1 species